rnacentral:rRNA from 1 species
AGACUUCGCAAGGGAUAUCUCGGCUCUCGCAUCGAUGAAGAACGUAGCGAAAUGCGAUACUGGUGUGAAUUGCAGAAUCCCGCGAACCAUCGAGUCUUUGAACGCAAGUUGCGCCCGAGGCCACUCGGCCGAGGGCACGCCUGCCUGGGCGUCACGCCAAAACACGCUCCCAACCCCUCAUCGGGAAUCGGGACGCGGCAUCUGGUCCCUCGUCUCGCAAGGGGCGGUGGACCGAAGAUCGGGCUGCGGUGUACCGCGCCGGACACAGCGAUGUGGGGCGUCCUCGCUUUAUCAACGCAGUGCAUCCGACGCGCAGCGACAUUAUGGCCUCAGAACGACCCAGCAAACGAAGCGCACGUUGCUUCGACCGCGACCCCAGGUCAGGCGGGACUACCCGCUGAGUUUAAGCAUAUAAAUAAGCGGAGGAGAAGAAACUUACAAGGAUUCCCCUAGUAAGGGCGAGCGAACGGGGAGCAGCCAGCUUGAGAAUCGGGCGGCUGUGCCGUCCGAAUUGUAGUUCUGGAGAGGCGUCUUCAGCGACGGACCGGGCCAAGUCCCCUGGAAAGGGGCGCCUGGGAGGGUGAGAGCCCGUCCGGCCGGACGCCCUGUCGCCCCACGAGGCGCCGUCAACGAGUCGGGUUGUUUGGAAUGCAGCCAAAUCGGGCGGUAGACUCCGUCCAAGGCUAAAUACAGGCGAGAGACCGAUAGCGGAACAAGUACGCGAGGGAAAGAUGAAAAGGACUUUGAAAGAGAGUCAAAGAGUGCUUGAAAUUGCCGGGAGGGAAGCGGAUGGGGGCCGGCGAUGCGCCGCGCCGUAUGCGGAACGGCUCUUGCUGGUCCGCCGCUCGGCUCGGGGUGUGGACUGUUGUCGCGCGCGCGGCGGCCAAAGCCCGGGGGCCUAGGUGCCCCCGGUGGCGUCGUCGGGCCGGUACCGCCGCGCGCGCCGAAAGGCGUGUCCCUCGGGGCACUGCGCUGCAAGGCCUGCGGGCUCCCCAUCGACCCGUCUUGAAACACGGACCAAGGAGUCUGACAUGCGUGCGAGUCGACGGGUUCUGAACUGUGGAUGCGCAAGGAGACUGACGAGCGGAGGCCCUCACGGGCCGCACCGCUGGCCGACCCUGAUCUUCUGUGAAGGGUUCGAGUUGGAGCACGCCUGUCGGGACCGAAAGAUGGUGAACUAUGCCUGAGCGGGGCGAGACAGAGGAAACUCUGGUGGAGGCUCGAAGCGAUACUGACGUGCAAAUGUUCGUCUGACUUGGGUAUAGGGGCGAAAGACUAAUCGAACCAUCUAGUAGCUGGUUCCCUCCGAAGUUUCCUCAGGAUAGCUGGAGCCCAUUACGAGUUCUAUCAGGUAAAGCCAAUGAUUAGAGGCAUUGGGGACGCAACGUCCUCGACCUAUUCUCAAACUUUAAAUAGGUAGGAUGGUGCGGCUGCUUCGGUGAGCCGUGCCACGGAAUCGGGUGCUCCAAGUGGGCCAUUUUUGGUAAGCAGAACUGGCGAUGCGGGAUGAACCGGAAGCCGGGUUACGGUGCCCAACUGCGCGCUAACCUAGAACCCACAAAGGGUGUUGGUCGAUUAAGACAGCAGGACGGUGGUCAUGGAAGUCGAAAUCCGCUAAGGAGUGUGUAAACUCACCUGCCGAAUCAACUAGCCCGAAAAUGGAUGGCGCUGAAGCGCGCGACCACACCCGGCAUCUGGGCGAGCGCCAUGCCCCGAUGAGUAGGAGGGCGCGGCGGCCGCUGCAAAACCGGGGCGCGAGCCCGGGCGGAGCGGCCGUCGGUGCAGAUCUUGGUGGUAGUAGCAAAUAUUCAAAUGAGAACUUUGAAGGCCGAAGAGGAGAAAGGUUCCAUGUGAACGGCACUUGCACAUGGGUAAGCGAUCCUAAGGACGGGGUAACCCCGGCAGAUAGCGCGAUCACGCGCAUCCCCGAAAGGGAAUCGGUUUAAGAUUUCCCGAGCCGGGAUGUGGGCGGUUGACGGCGACGUUAGGAAGUCCGGAGACGCCGGCGGGGGCCUCGGGAAGAGUUAUUUUUUCUGCUUAACGGCCUGCAACCCUGGAAACGGUUCAGCCGGAGGUAGGGUCCAGUGGCCGGAAGAGCACGCACGUCGCGCGGUGUCCGGUGCGCCCCGCGGCCCAUGAAAAUCCGGAGGACCGAGUACCGUUCACGCCGUUCGUACUCAUAACCGCAUCAGGUUCCAAGGUGAACAGCCUCUGGCCAAUGGAACAAUGUAGGCAAGGGAAGUCGGCAAAACGGAUCCGUAACUUCGGGAAAAGGAUUGGCUCUGAGGACUGGGCUCGGGGGUCCCGGCCGACGACCGUCGGCUGUCGGGGAUUGCUCGGAUGCUCACGCGGCGAGAGCGGGUGCCGCGUGCCGGCCGGGGACGGACCGGGAAUCGCCCUUCGGGGGCUUUCCGAGCAUGAACAGUCGACUCAGACUGGUACGGACAAGGGGAUAUCGACUGUUUAAUUAAAACAAAGCAUUGCGAUGGUCCUCGGGAUGCUGACGCAAUGUGAUUUCUGCCCAGUGCUCUGAAUGUCAAAGUGAAGAAAUUCAACCAAGCGGCGGUAAACGGCGGGAGUAACUAUGACUCUCUUAAGGUAGCCAAAUGCUCGUCAUCUAAUUAGUGACGCGCAUAAAUGGAUUAACGAGAUUCCCACUGUCCCUGUCUACUAUCCAGCGAAACCACAGCCAAGGGACGGGCUUGGCGGAAUCAGGCGGGAAAGAAGACCCUGUUGAGUUGACUCUAGUCCGAUUUUGUGAAAUGAUUUGAGAGGUGUAGGAUAAGUGGGAGCCCUCACGGGCGCAAGUGAAAUACCACUACUUUUAACGUUAUUUUAUUAUUCCGUGGGUCGGAAGCGGGGCAUGUCCUCCUUUUGGCUCCAAGGCCCGGUCUUACCGGGCCGAUCCGGGGGAAGAACAGGACCGUUACACGGACCCGUGAAUGGGCGGUACAUGGACACGGGAGAAAAGUGGCCGAUGCCCGUCGUGGACGGAACCGGACGCGCGCCAUGGAAAACUGGGCAAAACCACGUACGAGGCACACACACGUACACAGACCCUUACACGGACCCAUGAACGGGUUGUACGUGGACACGGGAAAAAAGCGGUCGACGCCCGUCGUGGACGGAACGGGACGCGCGCCAUGGAAAACAUGGCAAAACCACGUACGAGGCACACACAUGUUGUCACGCCCAAUAUGCUACCCUAUCCGAGAGGAACUCGAAGGUCCCACCAAGGAUAGACCCGC